UGCAGUCGAGCGGAACGAUCCUAGCUUGCUAGGAGGCGUCGAGCGGCGGACGGGUGAGUAAUGCAUAGGAAUCUGCCCGGUAGUGGGGGAUAACUUGAGGAAACUCAAGCUAAUACCGCAUACGCCCUACGGGGGAAAGCAGGGGCUCUUCGGACCUUGCGCUAUCGGAUGAGCUUAUGUCGGAUUAGCUGGUUGGUGAGGUAACGGCUCACCAAGGCGACGAUCCGUAGCUGGUCUGAGAGGAUGAUCAGCCACAUCGGGACUGAGACACGGCCCGAACUCCUACGGGAGGCAGCAGUGGGGAAUAUUGGACAAUGGGGGCAACCCUGAUCCAGCCAUGCCGCGUGUGUGAAGAAGGCCCUCGGGUUGUAAAGCACUUUCAGCGAGGAAGAAUGCUUGUCGGUUAAUACCCGGCAAGGGAGACAUCACUCGCAGAAGAAGCACCGGCUAACUCCGUGCCAGCAGCCGCGGUAAUACGGAGGGUGCGAGCGUUAAUCGGAAUUACUGGGCGUAAAGCGUGCGUAGGCGGCUUGAUAAGCCGGUUGUGAAAGCCCCGGGCUCAACCUGGGAACGGCAUCCGGAACUGUUAGGCUAGAGUGCAGGAGAGGAAGGUAGAAUUCCCGGUGUAGCGGUGAAAUGCGUAGAGAUCGGGAGGAAUACCAGUGGCGAAGGCGGCCUUCUGGACUGACACUGACGCUGAGGUACGAAAGCGUGGGUAGCAAACAGGAUUAGAUACCCUGGUAGUCCACGCCGUAAACGAUGUCGACUAGCCGUUGGGGUCCUCGAGACCUUUGUGGCGCAGUUAACGCACUAAGUCGACCGCCUGGGGAGUACGGCCGCAAGGUUAAAACUCAAUGAAUUGACGGGGCCCGCACAGCGGUGGAGCAUGGUGGUUUAAUUCGAUGCACGCGAGACCUUACCUACCCUUGACAUC
rnacentral:rRNA from 1 species